rnacentral:rRNA from 1 species
GGUCGUUGGAAGCUGGGGAACUUGAGUGCCGAAGAGGACAGUGGAAUUCCACGUGUAGCGGUGAAAUGCGUAGAGAUGUGGAGGAACACCAGUGGCGAAGGCUACUCUCUGGUCUGUAACUGACGCUGAGGAGCGAAAGCGUGGGGAGCGAACAUUGAUUAGAUACCCUGGUAGUCCACGCCGUAAACGAUGAGUGCUAAGUGUUAGGGGGUUUCCGCCCCUUAGUGCUGCAACUAACGCAUUAAGCGCUCCGCCUGGGGAGUACGGUCGCAAGACUGAAACUCAAAGGAAUUGACGGGGGCCC